CAUGCACUGGCAUUGUUUUUUGGGAUUUUUACAAAAGUCACCAACGUUGUAAGCAGUUCAUUCGGAUGGUUUUGUUUUCUUAAAACCUGCUUUGGCAUGGCCGUGCAGAAACAAUGUACAGAAAACCAAAAAGCUGGAUAUCAACU